UGAUGGAUGGAUUUUCGUGUAUUGAGCCAUUUCUCCAUUCCUGAGCCUACUUGAGCACGGUGUCUGUGAGGCAUCUUGCUUAUUGACCAAUGCGAUAUAUUUCAUAUGGAGCUGCCCAGUUCCAAAACUGGUCACCUGAAGCCUGAGCACAAGGGAAGAGAUCUUAGCAUCAUCUGUGCUGACUCAUAAAAGAGAUUCUGCAAAGGGCAGCUAUAACCCUGGGCUAAAGAUUAGAUGACAGGACACCCAGAGUUUUCUGAGUUUAAUUUGUAAAGUUUCCUCAGCAUGCAUGGAAGAAAAAGUACAUACAGGGAGAAGUGAUAGAAAGAAAAUGCAUGAAAUUGACUAGCAGGAGACUGCAGGUUAUCAAUUGUUCCAGAAGACAGCUGCCACCACCUUCGCUUUGCCUCCAGCCUUCUGAAAUUAUUUUUGGUGUGGGUGAGAGGGAUUCUUUCUUUUUCUCUUCCACAUCAAAUGUUGUGCUGGACAGCAAUGAAGCAUAUGGUCAGAGCCAAGUCUUGGAUUGGAGGCAAUACUUCUGAGCAAGAUGCAAGCCUCUUCCGAGGUACAUGCAUAGUCACUUCGGUAGCACAACUCCAGGGAACAACCUUUCGCUGCAGAGUCAAAGAGGCCAAGUCUUUGUUUCUUCCUUCAUAAACUCACCAGACAACACAUGAUUUAUGCUCUGCCAUCUGGAGCCUUACGACUUGAGUGGAUGACCCAAGAACAAGAGGAAUAUUGGAGAGGAUUUAUUGCAACAGCAGUUGUGCAGCAUUCUGGGCUGCAGUGGAAUUGGCUUCACCUUGUUCCACCUACAAAGCAGUUUUCACUUUUCUUAAAAAUGCAAAUUUAACAUAGCCCCUGUUUCUUCUGCUGCCUAGUGCCCCAGCCACUCUCAGUUCCCUCUCCUACUCUGAAAGAUUUCCAACAAAUCCUGCUUAUAUUAAAUGAACAAAAUUGUCUUUUUGUUUCCUAGUCAAGAACCUUAAAUGACCCUGAGGCCAAAUGCUCAUCAUCAUUCUGUGAGCAGAGACACAGUAGCUCAAAGGCACAGCAGUCACAAAGCACGCCGUUCAUUGCAGGAACCAGCAUGGUAACUUAGAGGGUUCUACUUUUUUUUAUAAGUGUUUUUCACCUUGUCACAUAACUUCUCUCAAAGCAAAAGCAGGAUAAUUGUCAUACUUUCCCAAAUACCACAGUGGAAAGCCCUGGGAGGUUAAGUGACUAGCCCAGGGCAACAGAGCCUGUCAAUUUUUAAUCCUGGAUUAAAACCAAGUGUCUGGUUUACCAGUGUGUG